UUGGAGGGCAAGUCUGGUGCCAGCAGCCGCGGUAAUUCCAGCUCCGAUAGCGUAUAUUAAAGUUGUUGCAGUUAAAAAGCUCGUAGUUGAAUUUCGGGGUCAAUAAGUUGGUCGUGCCAAUGGUAUGUACUGGCUUUAUUGAUUCCUACCUCUUGACGAACUGUGAUGCCAUUAAUUUGGUGUUGCAGGAAAUCAGGACUGUUACCUUGAAAAAAUUAGAGUGUUUAAAGCAGGCUUACGCUUGAAUACAUUAGCGUGGAAUAAUGAAAUAGGACGUUUGAACCUAUUUUGUUGGUUUCUAGGAUCGACGUAAUGAUUAAUAGGGAUAGUUGGGGGCAUUAGUAUUCAAUUGUCAGAGGUGAAAUUCUUGGAUUUAUUGAAGACUAACUACUGCGAAAGCAUUUGCCAAGGAUGUUUUCAUUAAUCAAGAACGAAAGUUAGGGGAUCGAAGACGAUCAGAUACCGUCGUAGUCUUAACCAUAAACUAUGCCGACUAGGGAUCGGAUGAUGGUAAUUUUUUAAUGACUCAUUCGGCGCCUUACGGGAAACCAAAGUGUUUGGGUUC
rnacentral:rRNA from 1 species